GGGGAUUUAGCUCAGUGGUAGAGCGCUUGCCUAGUGAGCAAGGCCCUGGGUUCCUUCCCCAGCUCCCG
rnacentral:tRNA from 1 species